rnacentral:piRNA from 1 species
GGCCUAGGGAGUUUCUUCAGAACCCCAGUA